GGAGCAAAAUGUUGCUAAGAUGUGUCCAAA
rnacentral:piRNA from 1 species